rnacentral:rRNA from 1 species
UACGUAGGGUGCAAGCGUUGUCCGGAAUUAUUGGGCGUAAAGAGCUCGUAGGCGGUUUGUCGCGUCUGCUGUGAAAUCUGGGGGCUCAACCCCCCAGCCUGCAGUGGGGUACGGGCAGACUAGAGUGCGGUAGGGGAGAUUGGAAUUCCUGGUGUAGCGGUGGAAUGCGCAGAUAUCAGGAGGAACACCGAUGGCGAAGGCGGGUCUCUGGGCCGUAACUGACGCUGAGGAGCGAAAGCAUGGGGGAGCGAACAGG